ACGAACGCUGGCGGCGUGCUUAACACAUGCAAGUCGAACGGUGAUGCUCCAGCUUGCUGGAGUGGAUCAGUGGCGAACGGGUGAGUAACACGUGAGCAACCUGCCCCAGACUCUGGAAUAAGCGCUGGAAACGGCGUGUAAUACUGGAUACGAAACUGGCCCGCAUGGGCAUGGUUUGGAAAGUUUUUCGGUUUGGGAUGGGCUCGCGGCCUAUCAGCUUGUUGGUGAGGUAAUGGCUCACCAAGGCGACGACGGGUAGCCGGCCUGAGAGGGCGACCGGCCACACUGGGACUGAGACACGGCCCAGACUCCUACGGGAGGCAGCAGUGGGGAAUAUUGCACAAUGGGCGAAAGCCUGAUGCAGCGACGCCGCGUGAGGGAUGACGGCCUUCGGGUUGUAAACCUCUUUCAGCAGGGAAGAAGCGAAAGUGACGGUACCUGCAGAAGAAGCACCGGCUAACUACGUG
rnacentral:rRNA from 1 species